rnacentral:rRNA from 1 species
AGCGAACGCUGGCGGCAGGCCUAAUACAUGCAAGUCGAGCGCACCUUCGGGUGAGCGGCGGACGGGUGAGUAACGCGUGGGAACGUGCCCUUUGGUUCGGAACAACACAGGGAAACUUGUGCUAAUACCGAAUGUGCCCUUCGGGGGAAAGAUUUAUCGCCAUUGGAGCGGCCCGCGUUGGAUUAGCUAGUUGGUGGGGUAAAGGCCCACCAAGGCGACGAUCCAUAGCUGGUCUGAGAGGAUGAUCAGCCACACUGGGACUGAGACACGGCCCAGACUCCUACGGGAGGCAGCAGUAGGGAAUCUUGCGCAAUGGGCGAAAGCCUGACGCAGCCAUGCCGCGUGAAUGAUGAAGGUCUUAGGAUUGUAAAAUUCUUUCACCGGGGAAGAUAAUGACGGUACCCGGAGAAGAAGCCCCGGCUAACUUCGUGCCAGCAGCCGCGGUAAUACGAAGGGGGCUAGCGUUGCUCGGAAUUACUGGGCGUAAAGGGCGCGUAGGCGGACAGUUUAGUCAGAGGUGAAAGCCCAGGGCUCAACCUUGGAACUGCCUUUGAUACUGGCUGUCUUGAGUUCGGGAGAGGUGAGUGGAAUGCCGAGUGUAGAGGUGAAAUUCGUAGAUAUUCGGCGGAACACCAGUGGCGAAGGCGACUCACUGGCCCGAUACUGACGCUGAGGCGCGAAAGCGUGGGGAGCAAACAGG